CCAGAGAACUUAGCAGAGAUGCUUUGGUGCCUUCGGGAACUCUGAGACAGGUGCUGCAUGGCUGUCGUCAGCUCGUGUUGUGAAAUGUUGGGUUAAGUCCCGCAACGAGCGCAACCCUUAUCCUUUGUUGCCAGCGGCUCGGCCGGGAACUCAAAGGAGACUGCCGGUGAUAAACCGGAGGAAGGUGGGGAUGACGUCAAGUCAUCAUGGCCCUUACGGCCAGGGCUACACACGUGCUACAAUGGCGCAUACAAAGAGAAGCGACCUCGCGAGAGCAAGCGGACCUCAUAAAAGUGCGUCGUAGUCCGGAUUGGAGUCUGCAACUCGACUCCAUGAAGUCGGAAUCGCUAGUAAUCGUAGAUCAGAAUGCUACGGUGAAUACGUUCCCGGGCCUUGUACACACCGCCCGUCACACCAUGGGAGUGGGUUGCAAAAGAAGUAGGUAGCUUAACCUUCGGGAGGGGCGCUUACCACUUUGUGAUUCAUGACUGGGGUGAAGUCGUAACAAGGUAAGCGUAGCGAG
rnacentral:rRNA from 1 species